rnacentral:rRNA from 3 species
UGUGACUGCGUACCUUUUGUAUAAUGGGUCAGCGACUUAUAUUCUGUAGCAAGGUUAACCGAAUAGGGGAGCCGGAGGGAAACCGAGUCUUAAUUGGGCGUUAAGUUGCAGGGUAUAGACCCGAAACCCGGUGAUCUAGCCAUGGGCAGGUUGAAGGUUGGGUAACACUAACUGGAGGACCGAACCGACUAAUGUUGAAAAAUUAGCGGAUGACCUGUGGCUGGGGGUGAAAGGCCAAUCAAACCGGGAGAUAGCUGGUUCUCCCCGAAAGCUAUUUAGGUAGCGCCUCGUGAAUUCAUCUCCGGGGGUAGAGCACUGUUUCGGCUAGGGGGCCAUCCCGGCUUACCAACCCGAUGCAAACUGCGAAUACCGGAGAAUGUUAUCACGGGAGACACACGGCGGGUGCUAACGUCCGUCGUGAAGAGGGAAACAACCCAGACCGCCAGCUAAGGUCCCAAAGUCAUGGUUAAGUGGGAAACGAUGUGGGAAGGCCCAGACAGCCAGGAUGUUGGCUUAGAAGCAGCCAUCAUUUAAAGAAAGCGUAAUAGCUCACUGGUCGAGUCGGCCUGCGCGGAAGAUGUAACGGGGCUAAACCAU